AAGGGGAAACAAAAAAAUAAAAAACCCGGGAAUCUCGAGUUUUAGGGUUUUUGCCGGCGUUCGUUGUUCGGUGACCUCCAUCGGAGAAAAUGGCGACAAGUUCUUCUUCUGCUCGAGAAAUCGAUCUUCAGAGAGAGGUAAGAAGGCACGAGGUUGCGUUAGAUGAGCUGAACAAUCUCCCCUCUUCGCGUGUAUGUUCUUCUAAAUUCCCUGCGUUUUCUCCGUUUUUGGUAUGCGUCUCUUAUGUUUAUCUUGUAGCUUUGUCUCCGUUCCAAGUAGAUGGAGCUACAUUGUUGGAAAAUUCUCUCUCUGUGAAUUGAAUUAUUUUUGUUUUUCUAUGGGCUUAACCGAUUUCUCAGCUGUUUUAUGAAUCUCCCCACAAGUUUUAGGGAUUUGACAUUUGUGACUAUCUCCAUAUUCAGUUGAUGAGCUAUGUUUUCCUACGUUUUUAGAAUGUAAGAAUGGAAAGAAAACAAAGGGCUUUUGAUAUUUCUGUGGAAUAUCAAUCAAGAAUUGAGACCACACUCGCAGAGGAAGUCCAGUCCGUGGUCACUGGUUAUUUCAAUGCAUCAGUUUGUCAGUUUGGGUGUUUGUUAAACAUGGUUCAUUACAUAUUGAUGAACUCUAGCAAACACAGAUAUGCAUAGUACAAGUCAAGUCAUCACAUAGCAUUGUGUUUAGCUUCUUGAAUGCCGUCGGUUCUGUAGAAGAUCGCUUCGGGCUAAGCGGCAAAAAAAGUGGUACAUGAUUCGUUCUUUCUAUACUCUUUGAUCCUCUUUUAUGCACGAAGACUGUCUCUACUUCUUAUUCCGACACUUGGUAAAGACCCAGGUUGGUCAUGUUCAUGUAAGUGUGUAUUUAAGUUAGUUACACUAACACUAUUCGUUUUGGUGAUCUGAAGUUGUAACUUUAUUUGUUCGUUUACAGUUUAAAUCCUUUCUGCUUGCUUAUGAUAUGAAACAAAACAUCGUAAGAGAGAAAACGCGAAAUGAAAUCAGACAUCACUGAAUCUGCUCUUGAAUUUCAGGCUGUUUACCAGAAAAGCAGUAACCUCUUUUUUCGCACAACUGUGGAGAAACUGAAAACAUCUGAACAAAAACAACUUGACACAGCAAAAGCUGAGCUUCAGAAGCAUAAUCGCUGACGCGACGGCGACGGUUUUCUUUCUUGGCCGGCCCGUGAAGUUGCAGAGGAGUUGGUUUUUGCCUUUUGAAUUAACGCAAAUGAGUGGACUGCAUAUAGUAUUCACAAGUAGUAGACGUGUGCUUAUAUAGUUUGCAAACCAUGUGACGGCAUUGCUGACUCUAUAUAGAAGUUUCAAUAUCCGUUGGGCCGACAUUAUUCA